GCAGCCUCCAGGCCCCGAGCCAUCAGCCCAGAGCCCGACGCGGGGCCCAAACUUAUGGGCCGCAAGAUCGUGACCUGAGCCGAAGUCGGACUCUUAACCGACUGAGCCACCCAGGCGCCCCAGAUUCUAGAACUUUGUGUUGGCGAAGACUUCAUUUCAGGUGGGCCCUUUGCGUCAAAAGUGGAGCAGCUCUCGGUUUCCCGAAGGCUUUUCUGGAAUUGAAGAGACGGCCGGGACCUUGCACCAUGUGUGGCAACGAUCCGUCCCUUUUCCGUGAGCUCCGUCAUAAACGUAAAAGAAGGAAACAGACACCGAACAGAGCAUAUUUGCCAAAUCUCAAUCUCUAACAGCAAAACGGUUGCCAGUGGCUGAUUGACUAGAAUCGUACCUGGAUCCCUUCCAGACCUGGUGAGCCCUCUGCAAAUGCGCACUCGCCGUUUGAGGGCGGCCUCCACGCGACUCAGCUCAGAGGCACAAAGAGAUACAGACGUGGAAUGAAGAGCCCCCACCUCAGCUGCUCCAAGUACUUACAAGGAUCCGCAGGGGGAGCGUGACACAGAGGGUCACGGAAAUGCUACCAAAGCAAUGCCAAGGAGGAUGUUCAUCUCUUGCCCGUCAAAAGUCUCUACAGCCUUGGUCCCGGAGGUACAUCCAGAACCUCUCGUCACUGCCACAUCCCUUCUAAGUUAUCAGCCGUCACUACUUGGAAGACGUCACCCACGUUCGCCGUGAAUCUGCUCUCCACCAAAUGCAAAACGGAACAACACAGCCUGGAACUCUGCAUUCUUCCUCCGUUUGCAUCCGUGUUCUAAAUAGGAUUUCAUUCACGUGUCACUGAACACCAAGGACCAUUUGUCUUUCCAACAGAAACCGAAAGGGCUUAUGCCGUAGAAAUUACCGAAGGCAUGAUGGGUGGAGCGGACUUAGAAUGCAGUACUUACUGUCUCCAGUUUUUCACCUGGAUCGUUGAAAGAAGCGGCUGUUUCAUCCGUCCUCUGGUUUCCCCAUUUUUUUUUAAUGUUUAUUCAUUUUGGAGAGAGAGCAUGAGCUGGGGAUGGAUGGGCAGAGAGGAAAAGAGGACAGAAGAUCCCAAGCAGGCUCCGUGCUGACAGCCAGCAAGCCUAAUGCAGGGCUCGAACUCAGGAGCUGUGAGAUCUUGACCUGAGUUGAAUUUGGACGCUCAACCGGCUGAGCCACACAGGCGCCCCUGCUUUCCCCAUUUGUAUAAUGAGAUUCUAUAUCUGGACCUUCCUUUUUUUUAGUGUUUUUUUUUUUUUUUACAUUUAUUUAUUUAUUGAGAGAGAGAGAGAGAGACAGAGCGUGAGCAGGGGAGGGGCAGAGAGAGA